GCUCUCGUAGUUUAAUGGAUAGAAUAUCUCCCUCCGAAGGAGGUGGUACAGGUUCGAUUCCUGUCGAGAGCA
rnacentral:tRNA from 1 species